rnacentral:rRNA from 1 species
GCGGAGGAAAAGAAAAUAACAAUGAUUUCCCUAGUAACGGCGAGUGAAGAGGAAAGAGCUCAAAGUUGGAAACUGUUUGGCUUAGCUAAACCGUAUUGUAAACUGUAGAAACAUUUUCCUGGCACACCAGAUUAAUAAGUCCUUUGGAACAAGGCAUCAUGGAGGGUGAGAAUCCCGUCUUUGAUCUGAGUAGUUGUCUUUUGUGAUAUGUUUUCAAAGAGUCAGGUUGUUUGGGAAUGCAGCCUAAAUUGGGUGGUAAAUCUCACCUAAAGCUAAAUAUCUGCGAGAGACCGAUAGCGAACAAGUACCGUGAGGGAAAGAUGAAAAGAACUUUGAAAAGAGAGUUAAACAGUAUGUGAAAUUGUUAAAAGGGAACCGUUUGGAGCCAGACUGGUUUGACUGUAAUCAACCUAGAAUUCGUUUUGGGUGCACUUGCAGUCUAUACCUGCCAACAACAGUUUGAUUUGGAGGAAAAAAUUAGUAGGAAUGUGGCCUUUCGAGGUGUUAUAGCCUAUUAUCAUACUCUGGAUUGGACUGAGGAACGCAGCGAAUGCCUUUAGGCGAGAUUGCUGGGUGCUUUCGCUAAUAAAUGUUAGAAUUUCUGCUUCGGGUGGUGCUAAUGUUUAAAGGAGGAACACAUCUAGUAUAUUUUUUAUUCGCUUAGGUUGUUGGCUUAAUGACUCUAAAUGAC